GGAGACACCGAAGUGAGAGUAUAGGUAUUCAUUGAGAAUAAGAGUACUGAGCGUGACCACCUGGAGCAGUCAUAAGGAGGUCUACCUUCUCGUCGAUGACUAGCUCGAUGCUAUAGUUGUGUGUCUAGUUCUUUGACCUGAGAUGCAUCGACAGAUCACCUUGAGUGUGUUAUAGUUUGACUACACCAUAACUUGAUCUCCUAGUCAUUCGAAACUCUGAGGUGUAUGUUGGCUGUAGCAUAUUCAUUGUAGGAACUAGGUCGCACCA
rnacentral:lncRNA from 1 species